GUUGGUGUGGAUCACCCUACUCAAUCAAGGAAAGUGCCAACAGGUGAGCCUCGUUAAGUCCUUAGCAGGGAGGGUCAGGGCUCUGUCAACAUGAAGUCAAAAAGGACUGAGAGACGCAACCAUGGUGGAGGAAGGGGCCUAAUGUUCACCGGGGUACAGGAAGCUGCCAUUGUAAACUUGGUUUUGGAAAGUAAUGAAAUCAGAUUCCUGGAGUUCUGGAAAUGGAUGCUCAUGCAAUCCCGCAUGAGUUCAUCUUUGUAGAUGAGGCUGGGUUCAACUUAGCAAAGAAGAAGAAGGGGAAGGAAACGUCAUUGGCCACAGAGCCAUUAUAGAUGUUCCUUGCCAACGUGGUGGGAACAUCACAAUGUGCACUGCCAUCUCCAAUACGCAUGGUGUCCUCCACCGUCAUGCCAACCAUGGACCAUACAACACAGCCCAUUGUCUCACAUUUCUGGACAGACUCCACAAUAUUCUCAUACCACCAGAGCGUAUGAAUGAUGCAGAGCAUCGAAGAAACAGGUAUGUUAUAGUAUGAGCUUUCAUCGUGCAGCCCCAGUCCAAACCUGGUUUGCUGACCACCCACCAUUUGUCGUGCAAUACCUUCCACCAUACUCACCAUUUUUGAACCCCAUAGAAGAGUCCUUUUCAGCAUGGCGGUAGAAGGUUUACGACCGGCAGCCCUUUGUGCGCAUGCCUCUUUUGCAGGCUAUGGAAGAGGCAUGUGAUGAAAUUGAUGUGGGUGCGAUUCAGGGAUGGAUAAGCCACUCAUGGCGCUUCUUCCCUCGAUGUCUGGCAAGGGAAGAUAUUGCCUGUGAUGUGGACGAGGCGUUGUGGCCAGAUCCAGCUAUGCGGCAGGAUGCUGCGUAAUUACAGUAUUUUUCUCGCCUCUUUUUUUCAUAUAUAUUUUUUCUGCACAUUUUCUCUGUAAUUUUCUUUUUCAGUUUACUGUUUUUUGUUAGCAUAUUUUUGUUCACUCCAAUGUAU